UAGGGAGACCUACUUGUACUAGACCGAACUUUUUAUUAGGUCAGUAUCAAGCUAUCCCAAGGUCGGUCGAGAUCAAAAGCAAAGCUUUCAAACUAUGUCUAGUUCAAUCAGUAACGAGAGGGCUAUUAGCUCAGCUGGUUAGAGCGCACGGCUGAUAACCGUGAGGUCCCUGGUUCGAGUCCAGGAUAGCCCACUAGGGAAGAAAAAAACUUCUUAGAGGGGGUAUGGCUCAGUUGGUAGAGCGCCUGCUUUGCACGCAGGAAGUCAGCGGUUCGAAUCCGCUAACCUCCACUGAGAUUGAUAGAUAAGAGCCGAGAGAAUGGAGAUAGGAUUCAGCAAUUCAUCUUGAUAGAACAAGAGAGCCUGCUGGAUGAGAAUCCAGUUAGAACCUUGAAAACUGCAUAGUAACUUGUCAGGUAGUAAGACAAUGACGACUAACGAGAGUUUAAUAACUUUGUAGUUAGAAACGAGUUGUCACUAUCACAGACACCAAUGUAAGCGAGACUCUAGGAAGUUAGCGAAAGCUAAAGACUAGAAGUUAAAAGU
rnacentral:tRNA from 1 species